GCGGCGAUGGUCUAAUGGUAUGACUUGAGCUUUCCAAGCUUACAGCACGGGUUCGAUUCCCGUUCGCCGCA
rnacentral:tRNA from 1 species